rnacentral:ncRNA from 1 species
UUAUUGGAGAGUUUGAUCCUGGCUCAGGACGAACGCUGGCGGCGUGCCUAAUACAUGCAAGUCGAGCGAGUCCCUUCGGGGGCUAGCGGCGGACGGGUGAGUAACACGUAGGCAACCUGCCCGUAAGCUCGGGAUAACAUGGGGAAACUCAUGCUAAUACCGGAUAGAGUCUUCUCUCGCAUGAGAGGAGACGGAAAGGUGGCGCAAGCUACCACUUACGGAUGGGCCUGCGGCGCAUUAGCUAGUUGGUGGGGUAACGGCCUACCAAGGCGACGAUGCGUAGCCGACCUGAGAGGGUGACCGGCCACACUGGGACUGAGACACGGCCCAGACUCCUACGGGAGGCAGCAGUAGGGAAUUUUCCACAAUGGACGAAAGUCUGAUGGAGCAACGCC